AUUCAAGAUAGUUCAUUUUCAUAGCUUGGUAAAUAAAUGAUGGAGUUCAUAUUUAAGUAUAAAAUAAGGGAAAGGACUGGGACAGUGUAUAUAUUUCUGGUCUUUCUGAUGUAUCAAUUUAUAAAUGUAGAUUAUACGUAAUGGGCACUCGAUAAUAGCAUUGAACUUUCGGAAGAAUCAACAGAAGCUUGCAAAUUGAUUAGCACUUCCAAUUUCUAUGACUUUUAUGCAGUUUUUGCCUUUGCUUCUUUGUAUAGUUGAUCCACAAUAUCCUUGUAAUAGUUGAGCAGUUGUGGUCUUUUGAGUUUGAAUGUAGGGGUAACUAAUUCUCUCUCAAUGUCAAAUGGAUUUGGUUCCAAAUGAACUGCACGUAACAGUUUUGAAUCCUUCCUAGUGGCUGUGGUAGUUCCAGAAAGAAAGGCACUUGAAGAGUGGGCCUCGAAUAAUCAAGAAACCGGAGAUUUUUCAUCUCUAUGUAA
rnacentral:misc_RNA from 1 species